rnacentral:rRNA from 3 species
AACUUUCAGCGACGGAUGUCUUGGCUCCCAA